GGGCAAUUAACUCAGCUGGCUAGAGUGUCAUCUUGACGUGGUGAAAGUCGGGGGUUCGAAUCCCUCAUUGCCCACCA
rnacentral:tRNA from 1 species